GGGGAAUAUUGCACAAUGGGGGAAACCCUGAUGCAGCAACGCCGCGUGAGUGAUGAAGGUUUUCGGAUCGUAAAGCUCUGUCUUCAGGGACGAUAAUGACGGUACCUGAGGAGGAAGCCACGGCUAACUACGUGCCAGCAGCCGCGGUAAUACGUAGGUGGCGAGCGUUGUCCGGAUUUACUGGGCGUAAAGGGAGCGUAGGCGGACUUUUAAGUGAGAUGUGAAAUACUCGGGCUCAACCCGGGGGCUGCAUUUCAAACUGGGAGUCUAGAGUGCAGGAGAGGAGAGUGGAAUUCCUAGUGUAGCGGUGAAAUGCGUAGAGAUUAGGAAGAACACCAGUGGCGAAGGCGACUCUCUGGACUGUAACUGACGCUGAGGCUCGAAAGCGUGGGGAGCAAAC
rnacentral:rRNA from 1 species